GAUGAACGCUGGCGGCGUGCUUAACACAUGCAAGUCGAACGGGAUCCGAGGCGCUUGCGUCUCGGUGAGAGUGGCGAACGGGUGAGUAAUACGUGACUAACCUGCCUCAUACAUCGGAAUAGCUCCUGGAAACGGGUGGUAAUGCCGAAUGCUCCAACCUUCCGCAUGGAUGGUUGGGAAAGCGUUAGCGGUAUGAGAUGGGGUCGCGUCCUAUCAGCUUGUUGGUGGGGUGAAGGCCCACCAAGGCUUCGACGGGUAGCCGGCCUGAGAGGGUGACCGGCCACAUGGGGACUGGGAUACGGCCCAGACUCCUACGGGAGGCAGCAGUGGGGAAUAUUGCACAAUGGGCGAAAGCCUGAUGCAGCGACGCCGCGUGCGGGAUGAAGGCCUUCGGGUUGUAAACCGCUUUUGAUUGGGAGCAAGCGAGAGUGAGUGUACCUUUCGAAUAAGCACCGGCUAACUACGUGCCAGCAGCCGCAGUAAGAC
rnacentral:rRNA from 1 species